UAACCUGCCCAAGAGAUCGGGAUAACACCUGGAAACAGAUGCUAAUACCGGAUAACAACAGAUGAUGCCUAUCAACUGUUUAAAAGAUGGUUCUGCUAUCACUCUUGGAUGGACCUGCGGUGCAUUAGCUAGUUGGUAGGGUAACGGCCUACCAAGGCGAUGAUGCAUAGCCGAGUUGAGAGGCUGAUCGGCCACAUUGGGACUGAGACACGGCCCAAACUCCUACGGGAGGCAGCAGCC
rnacentral:rRNA from 1 species